rnacentral:tRNA from 5 species
CGCGGGGUGGAGCAGCUUGGUAGCUCGUCGGGCUCAUAACCCGAAGGUCGUCGGUUCGAAUCCGGCCCCCGCAACCA